UUUGACGUUAGCGACAGAAGAAGCACCGGCUAACUCCGUGCCAGCAGCCGCGGUAAUACGGAGGGUGCGAGCGUUAAUCGGAAUUACUGGGCGUAAAGCGCAUGCAGGUGGUUUGUUAAGUCAGAUGUGAAAGACCCGGGGCGUCAACCUCGGAAUUGCAUUUGAAACUGGCAGACUAGAGUACUGUAGAGGGGGGUAGGAAUUUCAGGUGUAGCGGUGAAAUGCGUAGAGAUCUGAAGGAAUACCGGUGGCGAAGGCGGCCCCCUGGACAGAUACUGACACUCAGAUGCGAAAGCGUGGGGAGCAAACAGGAUUAGAUACCCUGGUAG
rnacentral:rRNA from 1 species